UACAGAGGGUGCGAGCGUUGUCCGGAAUCACUGGGCGUAAAGGGUGUGUAGGUGGCGCCGUAAGUCGGGUGUGAAAUCCUGAGGCUUAACCUCAGAAUUGCAUUCGAUACUGCAGUGCUUGAGGACUGGAGAGGAGACUGGAAUUCAUGGUGUAGCAGUGAAAUGCGUAGAGAUCAUGAGGAAGACCAGUGGCGAAGGCGGGUCUCUGGACAGUUCCUGACACUGAGGCACGAAGGCCAGGGGAGCAAACGGG
rnacentral:rRNA from 1 species